UCGUCGCCCUUUCCGCCUCGCCGAUCGGGGAGGGAGGAAAACAAAGCGCUCCAGCACGGAGGUGCCGAGGCUUUUCACAGAAAAGCCCCUCACGUUCCAGGGCUAUGCCUGCUUCAUCCUUGCUCUGGCCUCUGGAUUAGAGGGCGCCAUCUUGAGUCUGAAACUACAGUCACGAGCGGAAGAGUGGAGGAGCUCUGGGGGGGGGCCGCCUAACUUCUAGUGCCGGGGGUCAGGCACGGUGUUAGAUUGCCGCUUAGCCAACAGUGCUGUACGUUACUGGCAAAUUGGCCAGUUCUGUGGCAGUUGAAAAUUGAUACUGAACACUGCUGUGCGCUUCCACUACUUAAUACUGUAAUUCACGGUGGGACUGAAAGUGCUGCUGUCCCAAAAGAAGGGUGUUUCUGGCUUGGCCUUAAGUCAUCACCUUGCCUUUGCCUGGUACUCGCUGGACUGUUGGUAGAGCCUGUUGUUGCUGCCACUGCCCCUGCUUCUAUGUGUUCCUGUGCUUGCUGAUUCAAUCUGGACAUGAAAGCACUGAAGAAGCAUGCACUUUGGAUGAAAUUUGGCUGAAUUCUUAAGACA